rnacentral:rRNA from 1 species
GGUGAGUAAUGCUUGGGAAUCUGGCUUAUGGAGGGGGAUAACUACGGGAAACUGUAGCUAAUACCGCGUAGUAUCGGAAGAUGAAAGUGCGGGACCGUAAGGCCGCAUGCCAUGAGAUGAGCCCAAGUGGGAUUAGGUAGUUGGUGGGGUGAAGGCCUACCAAGCCUGCGAUCUCUAGCUGGUCUGAGAGGAUGGCCAGCCACACUGGAACUGAGACACGGUCCAG